rnacentral:snRNA from 1 species
ACCCGAAGAAGAGGAAGAGU